UUAAGAUCUGCAACAAGUAAGAAUUUCACUGCUCUGUUUCUGGUGCCUAUGACAAUUAAAUGCUCUUAACUCUUAAAGCAAUCCAAAUUUCUCCAGCCAACUUCCCCUUCUAGUGGCUACUCUAAUCCAAGCAACAUAAUCUCAUUAUGUAUAUGUCGAUAAUUUCAUAACCUUGCUGACAUAAUGAAUUUGUACAUCUUCCACAUUUAGAUUGGCACUAUCGUGCAGUCCAUUAAUCCACUCCAGAGUUUCCAUUUGCCCUAGCGGCUACUGGGAGUUGCAACGUUUGAUGCAUGUCCUUAGCACUGCAAGUGCCUUGAGUGUAGACUGCCAUCUGUUGCAGGGAAGACCGCAGCACCACAGGUACAGGGAAGAAGGCAGAGAUAUUGCCACCAGGUGGCACUAGUAGUCCCACCAUGAAGAUUGAAGGCUGAGGAAGGGUUUCGACCCAAAACGUCACCCAUUCCUUCUCUCAAGAGAUGCUGCCUGUUCCGCUGAGAUACUCCAGCUUUUUGUGUCUAUCUUCGGUUUCAACCAGCAUCUGCAAUUCCUUCCUACACAUAAAGAUUGAUCAACCAAUGUCAGAUAGAAAACAUUGAUCGAUAAAUCUGGAAGUUCAUGUACGAGAGGGGUUGACCGACGGGCUGAGUCACGAUCAGCGCCACGGAGGCAGAGAGAGAGGUGUGCGGCUGUAAAACGGACCCCGCGAGGACCAAAAGCUUGUUUUUGUUCUCUCUC